AUGGCAUCACUGGCUCCUCUGCUCUGCCUCGUGGUGCUCUGGGUCCAGGGUUCCUCUGGGCAGAUUGUGGUGACUCAGACCCCAGAGUCCCUGGUGGUGUCUGCAGGAGAUCGAGUGACCAUCAAGUGCAAAGCCAGCUCCAGUCUUGCUGAUAGUAGUUAUCAGUACUUAGCCUGGUACCAGCAGAAACCUGGACAAGCUCCAAAGCUCCUCAUCUAUGAUGGUUCCACACGGCAGUCGGGAGUCCCAGCCCGGUUCAGCGGCAGUGGCUCUGGCACUGAUUUCACUCUCACCAUCAGCAGUGUUGAAGCUGAAGAUGCUGGAGAUUAUUACUGUCACCAGUACCGCAGUGAUCCUCACACAGUGAUACAAACCCAUACAAAAACCUCCCCGGGCUGCCCAGCUCAGCACCACAGCUGCUUCCUGAAGACUCACUUGAUUGAACAACUGCUACACUCAGUCCCAGCUCCGGGGUUUCCCAGGACACAAACACGUCACUGUCUGACCCACAGACACCACCACGCUGCCCCUGCUGCCCAGCCUGGUGGACAGAUCAUCCCAGGCAUGCAGUCCAAGGGAGUUUCCUCCAUAUCUCAGAGAUUUCACCCCACCUGA